GAUGAACGCUGACAGAAUGCUUAACACAUGCAAGUCAACUGUGGCGGACGGGUGAGUAACGCGUAAAGAACUUGCCUCACGGAUAGGGACAACAUUUGGAAACGAAUGCUAAUACCUGAUACUGUGAGAGAGCUUUGCGUCCCAUUAGCUAGUUGGAGAGGUAACGGCUCACCAAGGCGAUGAUGGGUAGCCGGCCUGAGAGGGUGAUCGGCCACAAGGGGACUGGGGAACGAGCCUUGCUCCUACGGGAGGCAGCAGUGAGGAAUGUUGGACAAUAGACCACAGUCUGAUCCAGGCAUUCUGUGUGCAAGAUGAAGUUUUCGGUAUGUAAAGUGCUUUCAGUUUAGAAGCGGUACCAGCAGAAGAAGUGACGGCUAAAUACGUGCCAGCAGCCGCGGUAAUUC
rnacentral:rRNA from 1 species